rnacentral:rRNA from 1 species
UGCUGUGGAGGAUGCUUCUUUGGCUAUGAGGGUAUCCGGCCUGUAGGGUGAACGGACACACUGGAACUGAGACACGGUCCAGACUCCUACGGGAGGCAGCAGUAGGGAAUAUUGCUCAAUGGGGGAAACCCUGAAGCAGCAACGCCGCGUGGAGGAUGAAGGUUUUAGGAUUGUAAACUCCUUUUGUUAGAGAAGAUAAUGACGGUAUCUAACGAAUAAGCACCGGCUAACUCCGUGCCAGCAGCCGCGGUAAUACGGAGGGUGCAAGCGUUACUCGGAAUCACUGGGCGUAAAGAGUGCGUAGGCGGGAUAGUCAGUCAGGUGUGAAAUCCUAUGGCUUAACCAUAGAACUGCAUUUGAAACUACUAUUCUAGAGUGUGGGAGAGGUAGGUGGAAUUCUUGGUGUAGGGGUAAAAUCCGUAGAGAUCAAGAGGGAAUACUCAUUGCCGAAGGGCGACCUGCUUGGAAACAUUACUUGACGCCUGAUUG